UACGUAGGUGGCAAGCGUUACUCGGAAUCACUAGGCGUAAAGCGCAGGUAGGCGGUUUGAUAAGUCUGUUGUGAAAGCUCCCGGCUUAACUGGGAGAGGUCAACGGAAACUAUUAGGCUAGAGUGUGGUAGAGGUAGCUGGAAUUCCCGGUGUAGCGGUGAAAUGCGUAGAUAUCGGGAGGAAUACCUAUGGCGAAAGCAGGCUACUGGACCAUCACUGACGCUGAUCUGCGAAAGCUAGGGGAGCAAACAGG
rnacentral:rRNA from 1 species